AUACGAAGGGUGCAAGCGUUAAUCGGAAUUACUGGGCGUAAAGCGCGCGUAGGCGGUUUGUUAAGUCAGAUGUGAAAGCCCCAGGCUCAACCUGGGAACUGCAUUUGAAACUGGCAGGCUAGAGUGUGGUAGAGGGAAGUGGAAUUUCAGGUGUAGCGGUGAAAUGCGUAGAUAUCUGAAGGAACAUCAGUGGCGAAGGCGACUUCCUGGACCAACACUGACGCUGAGGUGCGAAAGCGUGGGUAGCAAACAGGAUUAGAAACCCUAGUAGUCC
rnacentral:rRNA from 1 species